rnacentral:lncRNA from 1 species
UUGAGUGAAAUCUCCCAAAAAAAUAUUUAAGAUUCAAUUUGAUUGUUGUAAGGAAUCCUUUUAGAACUUAGAUGUCUUUAUAAUUGUUUUUAUAUACUCAGUCUUAAGUUGAGUUUGAGUUUGUUGGAAGACAAAUAAAUGUUAUAUAUUCUCAUGUCGAGUUUGUUGGGAUACAAACAAAUGAGGUUGUAUAUGUUUUUGUUAGAGUGAUCACAUUGUCUAUCUUUCGAUUAUUGACUAAUAUUCUAACAUGUCAUAAUCAUCUUUUUAAUAAAUCUUAUGAAUGAAACAUUGUAAUUUUUUUAUAAAAAAAAAAAAGUUAUUGGAAGGAAGAAUCAUGCGAUAAGAGAGGUAGAAAGCAAAAUUUUAUUCAUAAUGUAAAAAUUCAUUAGAAAGCUUAUUAAUUGAUAAAAAAAAAAAAAGAUGAAGUGUGUACACAUUAGUCCUGUUCAUAGAACUCAAUUAUAUACCUAGUGCAGCUUUCAGGAUUCGAAUCCCCGUCCUGUAUAUAUUAUGCAAUGUGCUUAGCAGUUGAGUUAGUUCACAGGUUCUUCCAAAAUAUUAACUUAAAUUUCUUAUUUUGGUUUGUAACAUUAAAUUAAUUUUAACAUAUUAAUUUUAUUUCGCAUCUAUUUC